UAGAAGAUUCAAACCUGCCCUUGGACGCUCC
rnacentral:piRNA from 1 species